AGCGAACGCUGGCGGCAGGCCUAACACAUGCAAGUCGAACGAACCCUUCGGGGUUAGUGGCGGACGGGUGAGUAACACGUGGGAAAGUGCCUUUAGGUUCGGAAUAACUCAGGGAAACUUGUGCUACUACCGAAUGUGCCCUUCGGGGGAAAGAUUUAUCGCCUUUAGAGCGGCCCGCGUCUGAUUAGCUAGUGGGUGAGGUAAUGGCUCAGCAAGGCUACGAUCAGUAGCUGGUCUGAGAGGAUGACCAGCCACAUUGGGACUGAGACACGGCCCAAACUCCUACGGGAGGCAGCAGUGGGGAAUCUUGCGCAAUGGGCGAAAGCCUGACGCAGCCAUGCCGCGUGGAUGAUGAAGGUCUUAGGAGUGUAAAAUCCUUUCACCGGUGAAGAUAAUGACUGUAGCCGGAGAAGAAGCCCCGGCUAACUUCGUGCCAGCCGCCGCGGUAACAC
rnacentral:rRNA from 1 species